rnacentral:rRNA from 1 species
GUGAGGAAUAUUGCGCAAUGGAGGAAACUCUGACGCAGCAACGCCGCGUGCGGGAUGACGCUUUUAGGAGUGUAAACCGCUGUUAGUAGGGACGAAUAAGUUAUGUUUGAACAAGGCAUAGUGAUGACGGUACCUACAGAGAAAGCCCCGGCUAACUCCGUGCCAGCAGCCGCGGUAAUACGGAGGGGGCGAGCGUUGUCCGGAAUUAUUGGGCGUAAAGGGCGCGUAGGCGGGCUGAUCAGUCUGUGGUGAAAGUUUGCGGCUUAACCGUAAAAUUGCCUCAGAUACUGUCAGUCUUGAGUUCGGAAGAGGAAAGUGGAAUUCCUGGUGUAGCGGUGAAAUGCGUAGAUAUCAGGAAGAACACCGGUGGCGAAGGCGGCUUUCUGGUCCGAAACUGACGCUGAGGCGCGAAAGUGUGGGGAGCGAACAGGAUUAGAUACCCCAGUAGUCC